rnacentral:lncRNA from 1 species
AGAAAAGCAAAUAAACAGACAUUAAAAGGCAGUAUUCCUCGCUAGGUUUUAGUAUAACAUCAGUAGCAGCUGGUGUAUCUGUAAGUAGUUUUUAAUCUCUGAAUAAAACACAUUAUAAAAAUGAGCCAAAAAGAGGAAAUGCAUGGUAGUGAAAUGCAUGAUCUCAAAGCAUUGUGGUAAAGGCAAGAAGAAAAAUAUAAUACUGCUUCUCAGAGGAAGUUUUCAUGUGGGUGAGCUUGAGAUGCUUUUAUCUCAAAAUAACAAAAGCAACACACAGAUGUUUUGUGGUGCUGUUAUAUGUCAUACAUGAAUAUCUGCUGCACUACUUUGAUACAAGAGGAGGAAGUGAUCUGAAGGUGUUGCAUGCAGAUAUAUUUGCCCUAAUUUCCAUGUCAAAUUGGUCAUAAAACUUUGUAGUUUUAAGAAGAUGACUUCUGCUUUUAAGCAAUCAUUCUUUAAUAAGACAGCAGCUGGGGUUUUUGAAAGCUCAUUAGUCAACUUUCUGAUUAGACAGCGCAGUCUGCAACAACCAUGCUCUUCACAGAAGCUGAAUGUUUGUUCUGGGUUUUUGUUCUCUGUCUCUCAGGUGUUCAGGGACAAACAAACAGCAUCUGUGCCUUGAAAGGUUCAUCAGUAAAUCUGUCCUGCUCACAUCAACAUCCAACUUCAAGCAUGAACUGGUACAGUGUACACAGGGGGGGCUUGAAGAUUGAGACCUCUGCAGAUGGAAAGUACAGCAUGUCAGCAGAGAGUAACUUGACUCUGACAGUCAACAAUCUAGCAGAGAAUGAUGCAAACAUUUACUGCUGCAGACAACCUGCUGACAAAUCAGACUGCGGCCAAAGGGGAAUUUCUCUCAGUGUUGCAGGUACAGUGGUUUUAUCAAACGCGUGAAGAACCGAUUGUUUUAUGAAUAAUCAGUGUAUUGAUAUUAUUUCUAUUAAUAAUCCUCUCAGAGCUGCAGGUAAAGGUGAUUCCUGCCACAGAGGGACAGACAGUAACACUGAUGUGCAGCAGCAGCUGUCCUCUGACUGAAAAGCCUGCAGCCUACAUCUGGUACAAGAACAGAGAGUUUCUCUAUGAGGACUGGUCUCCCUGGUACCAAGAGCUGCUCAGCAGUGAGGAAGCAGUCACAUACUCCUGUGCUGUCAAAGGUUACGAGGCUCUCAGAGCCCCUGAAGUCUCUGUGGGUGAGUCAUGAUGUUCAGUCAAAUGAUUUUCAGUAAACAUACUCAGUAUGCUAAUAUUUAAUUUCAUCUAGAUUUCAUCACAUCAGCAUGCUUCAAUGUGACCUAUGCUAAAAGGGAAAUGUGUCGUUAUGAGCAGGCAUCAGUAGAUGAGCCUUAUUCCAUCACAUUUCCCAGAGAUGAACACACAAACACAUCUUCUUACUGAUCUGUGGAGUACACUGUUUCUAUUUCUAUUGUUUCUAUUCACUUUUUAAAAAUUAUUUAAUUAACUGGAUCACAUAUGUAUUUAAUUGCAUUAAAC